rnacentral:rRNA from 1 species
GACGAACGCUGGCGGCGUGCCUAAUACAUGCAAGUCGAGCGGAUGACGGAGGAGCUUGCUCCUCCCGGUUCAGCGGCGGACGGGUGAGUAACACGUGGGCAACCUGCCCUGUAGAUUGGGAUAACUCCGGGAAACCGGGGCUAAUACCGAAUAAUCCUUCGGACCUCAUGGUCCGAUGUUGAAAGACGGCAUCUCGCUGUCACUACAGGAUGGGCCCGCGGCGCAUUCGCUAGUUGGUGAGGUAACGGCUCACCAAGGCCACGAUGCGUAGCCGACCUGGGAGGGUGAUCGGCCACACUGGGACUGAGACACGGCCCAGACUCCUACGGGAGGCAGCAGUAGGGAAUCUUCCACAAUGGACGAAAGUCUGAUGGAGCAACGCCGCGUGAGUGAAGAAGGUUCUCGGAUCGUAAAACUCUGUUGUGAGGGAAGAACAAGUACCGGAGUAACUGCCGGUGCCUUGACGGUACCUCAUUAGAAAGCCACGGCUAACUACGUGCCAGCCGCCGCGGUAAGAC